GACGAACGCUGGCGGCGUGCUUAACACAUGCAAGUCGAGCGGAAAGGCCCUGCUUGCCGGGUACUCGAGUGGCGAACGGGUGAGUAACACGUGGGUGAUCUGCCCUGCACUUCGGGAUAAGCCUGGGAAACUGGGUCUAAUACCGGAUAGGAGCCAUUUUUAUUGUGAUGGUUGGAAAGUUUUUUCGGUGUAGGAUGAGCUCGCGGCCUAUCAGCUUGUUGGUGGGGUAAUGGCCUACCAAGGCGGCGACGGGUAGCCGGCCUGAGAGGGUGGACGGCCACAUUGGGACUGAGAUACGGCCCAGACUCCUACGGGAGGCAGCAGUGGGGAAUAUUGCACAAUGGGCGCAAGCCUGAUGCAGCGACGCCGCGUGGGGGAUGACGGCCUUCGGGUUGUAAACUCCUUUCGCUAGGGACGAAGCUUUUGUGACGGUACCUAGAGAAGAAGCACCGGCUAACUACGUG
rnacentral:rRNA from 1 species